GACGAACGCUGGCGGCGCGCCUAAUACAUGCAAGUCGAACGUGAAGCGGGGCUUCGGCCCCGUGGAAAGUGGCGAACGGGUGCGUAACACGUGAGCAACCUGCCCCGGAGACCGGGAUAACCAGGGGAAACCCUGGCUAAUACCGGAUGUCCUCAGCGGAUCGCAUGGUCUGGUGAGGAAAUGGAUUCCGCUCCGGGAUGGGCUCGCGGCCUAUCAGCUUGUUGGUGGGGUAACGGCCUACCAAGGCGACGACGGGUAGCUGGUCUGAGAGGACGAUCAGCCACACUGGGACUGAGACACGGCCCAGACUCCUACGGGAGGCAGCAGUAGGGAAUCUUGCGCAAUGGGGGAAACCCUGACGCAGCGACGCCGCGUGCGGGAUGAAGGCCUUCGGGUUGUAAACCGCUUUCAGCAGGGACGAAAUUGACGGUACCUGCAGAAGAAGGCCCGGCCAACUACGUGCCAGCAGCCGCCGUAAGAC
rnacentral:rRNA from 1 species